rnacentral:rRNA from 1 species
AGGACGAACGCUGGCGGCGUGCUUAACACAUGCAAGUCGAGCGGUAAGGCCUUUCGGGGUACACGAGCGGCGAACGGGUGAGUAACACGUGGGUGAUCUGCCCUGCACUCUGGGAUAAGCCUGGGAAACUGGGUCUAAUACCGGAUAUGACCUGCUCUCGCAUGGGGGUGGGUGGAAAGAUUUAUCGGUGCAGGAUGGGCCCGCGGCCUAUCAGCUUGUUGGUGGGUAAUGGCCUACCAAGGCGACGACGGGUAGCCGACCUGAGAGGGUGACCGGCCACGACUGGGACUGAGACACGGCCCAGACUCCGUACGGGAGCAGCAGUGGGAAUAUGCACAAUGGGCGAAAGCUGAUGCAGCGACGCGCGUGAGG